AGAGUUUGAUCCUGGCUCAGGAUGAACGCUGGCGGCGCGCCUAACACAUGCAAGUCGAACAUUAAAGCGCCUUCGGGCGUGUAUAAAGUGGCGAACGGCUGAGUAACACGUGGGCAACCUCCCCUCGCACCGGGACAGCCUCGGGAAACUGGGAGUAAUACCGGAUACUCCGCGCACACCCAUGGCGUGCGCGGGAAAGCCUUUACGGCGAGGGAUGGGCCCGCGGCCUGUUAGCUUGUUGUGGGGUAACGGCCUACCAAGGCGAUUAUGGGUAGCUGGGUUGAGAGACCGACCAGCCAGUUGGGACUGAGACACGGCCCAAACUCCUACGGGAGGCAGCAGUGGGGAAUCUUGCACAAUGGCGAAAGCCUGAUGCAGCGACGCCGCGUGCGGGAUGAAGGCCUUCGGGUUGUAAACCGCUUCAGUGGGGACGAGGCCGCGAGGUGACGGUACCCACAGAAGAAGCCCCGGCUAACUACGGCCAGCAGCCGCGGUAAUACGUAGGGGGCAAGCGUUAUCCGGAUUCAUUGGGCGUAAAGCCUCGUAGGCGGUCCGUUAGGUCGGGAGUUAAAUCCGGGGGCUCAACCCCCGCCCGCUCCCAUACCGGCGGACUUGAGUUUGGUAGGGGAAAGUGGAAUUCCCAGUGUAGCGGUGGAAUGCCAGAUAUUGGGAAGAACACCAGUGGCGAAGGCGGCUUUCUGGGCCACACCUGA
rnacentral:rRNA from 1 species